UGGUUUAAAUCUGGUUUAAACUGGUUUAAACCAGUUUAAACCAGGUUUAAACUGGAUUCAAACCGGUUUAAACUGGUUUAAACCGGUUUAAAUCUGGUUUAAACUG